UACGUAGGGGGCAGGCGUUGAUCGGAUUUACUGGGCGUAAAGCGUGCGCAGGCGGUUUUUUAAGUCCGAUGUGAAAGCCCCGGGCUUAACCUGGGAACUGCGGUUGAAACUGGGAGACUUGAGUGCGGCAGAGGGGGGUGGAAUUCCACGUGUAGCAGUGAAAUGCGUAGAUAUGUGGAGGAACACCGAUGGCGAAGGCAGCCCCCUGGGCUAACACUGACGCUCAGGCACGAAAGCGUGGGGAGCAAACGGG
rnacentral:rRNA from 1 species